rnacentral:rRNA from 1 species
CACGGGGGGAGCAAGCGUUGUUCGGAAUCACUGGGCGUAAAGGGCGUGUAGGCGGCCAACUAAGUCCGACGUGAAAUCCCCAGGCUUAACCUGGGAACUGCGUCGGAUACUGGAUGGCUUGAAUUCGGGAGAGGGAUGCAGAAUUCCAGGUGUAGCGGUGAAAUGCGUAGAUAUCUGGAGGAAUACCGGUGGCGAAGGCGGCAUCCUGGACCGGCAUUGACGCUGAGUGAGCGAAAGCCAGGGGAGCAAACGGG